rnacentral:rRNA from 1 species
UACGUAGGGUCCGAGCGUUGUCCGGAGUUACUGGGCGUAAAGCGCGCGCAGGCGGUUGAUCAAGUCUGGCGUGAAAGCCCCCGGCUCAACCGGGGAGGGUCGUCGGAGACUGGUGAACUUGAGAGUGGCAGGGGUCGGUGGAAUUCCCGGUGUAGUGGUGAAAUGCGUAGAGAUCGGGAGGAACACCUGUGGCGAAGGCGGCCGGCUGGGCCAACUCUGACGCUGAGGCGCGAAGGCGUGGGGAGCGAACGGG